rnacentral:rRNA from 1 species
UACGUAGGGUGCAAGCGUUGUCCGGAAUUAUUGGGCGUAAAGGGCUCGUAGGCGGUCCAUCGCGUCGGGGAGUGAAAAGCUGGGGCUCAACCCCAGUCCUGCUUCCGAUACGGGUGGACUAGAGGUAUGCAGGGGAGAACGGAAUUCCUGGUGUAGCGGUGAAAUGACGCAGAUAUCAGGAGGAACACCGGUGGCGAAGGCGGUUCUCUGGGCAUUACCUGACGUGAGGAGCGAAAAGCGUGGGGGAGCAAACAGG